UGCAAGUCGCGUGCGCAGUUUCCGUAGCAAUACGGGGAUGGGCGCACGGCGCACGGGUGCGUAACACGUGGGCAAUCUGCCCUCCGAUGGGGAAUACCCCCGCGAAAGCGGGACUAAUUCCGCAUAACAUUCCUUGGAUUAACUUUCGAGGAUUCAAAGCAGCAAUGCGUCGGAGGAGGAGCCCGCGCCCGAUUAGCUAGUUGGUGAGGUAACGGCUCACCAAGGCAAUGAUCGGUAGCUGGUCUGAGAGGAUGGCCAGCCACACUGGAACUGAGACACGGUCCAGACUCCUACGGGAGGCAGCAGUGGGGAAUCUUGCACAAUGGGCGAAAGCCUGAUGCAGCGACGCCGCGUGGGGGAUGAAGCUUUUCGGAGUGUAAACCCCUUUCGACUGGGACGAAUGCCUCGCAAGAGGAGUGACGGUACCAGUAUAAGAAGCCCCGGCUAACUACGUGCCAGCAGCCGCGGUAAGACGUAGGGGGCCAGCGUUGUUCGGAAUUACUGGGUGUAAAGGGUUCGUAGGCGGUGUGGCAAGUCGGGAGUGAAAUCUCUGGGCUCAACCCAGAGACUGCUUCCGAAACUGCUGUGCUUGAGUGUGAGAGAGGCUCGUGGAAUUGCAGGUGUAGCGGUGAAAUGCGUAGAUAUCUGCAGGAACACCCGUGGCGAAAGCGGCGAGCUGGAUCACUACUGACGCUGAGGAACGAAAGCUAG
rnacentral:rRNA from 1 species